UACGUAGGGUGCAAGCGUUUGUCCGGAAUUAUUGGGCGUAAAGAGCUCGUAGGCGGUCUGUCGCGUCGGUCGUGAAAACUUGGGGCUUAACCCUGAGCUUGCGGUCGAUACGGGCAUGACUGGAGUUCGGCAGGGGAGAGUGGAAUUCCUGGUGUAGCGGUGAAAUGCGCAGAUAUCAGGAAGAACACCUAUGGCGAAGGCAGCUCUCUGGGACGGUACUGACGCUAAGGCGCGAAAGCGUGGGGAGCGAACAGG
rnacentral:rRNA from 1 species